rnacentral:lncRNA from 1 species
AGUCUUUCUGAGGCAAGUAUGGAGGGGAGGACAGGGUGGCCCAGCUUCGUAGAGAUCACUACCUGCUCAAACCCCAAACAGAAAGGAGUCAUUUGCAGCCUGGAGGAGGACUCUACCAUUCCAAGAUAUUCAGCUGAACACCCUAGUAGUGCUAGCCGGCAGCAGUGGCUCCUGAGACCUCCACACCAGAGUCCCGCACACAUUCAAGGCCACCACCUCCUUCAUGCUCCUCUGUGAUCACCUCUCCAAGUCCCGGUGUCAGGAGCCUUCUCUGUGGCCGCCCUGGAGAGACUUGAGCCUGGGACGUGACGUGCUGGGCUGUGAAGCUUUCUGAGAAGGGAAACCUGUGGCCUGACCUGCCUGAAUGCUGCACCCAACCUCAUCUCUUCCUGGGAGAAACCAACAACUGUCAGCAUUGACACCAUCAGGCCUUUCUCUUCUAAUUUAACCUUGCAGCCAACCACACGGCUAUCUGUGCGGGAUCUCUCCCCAAGCUCAAGGACAUGAGAUGCGGAUCAGGCCCAAGAGGCUGGAUGCCAAACCUAUCCUCUCCAUGUGAAGCACCAACUUGGGGGUGUCAACUAAAAAUAUGAGACCCGUAAACUUGGAAAGGAAGACUUUAUUUCUUGAGAAGGGUUGCAAACUGCAGGCUGGGAAGUGGCACCUCCAGCUGAGACCACAAACAGUGGACUUUCUCAAACUGGGGUAUUGACCUCUGAUGAACCGCCAUGCAAACCCGUGCCUUUCAACAUAAAAAGAAGCCCUUCGAGGUGCUCACCUUCAAGCUUGCUAGAGGAGGAGGAAGAGCAGGUUGAGUUUGACAUAACUAGAAUGGGUUGAGCCUUUCCAGCAGAGUAAGGUUCUUUCAUGGUGGACAGUGGCCACCCACUGCCAUUUCUACAAGAAGAUUUUGCUUCUUA